rnacentral:rRNA from 1 species
UAAUCAUAUGCUUGUCUUAAAGAUUAAGCCAUGCAUGUCUAAGUAUAAGCAAUUAUAUGGCGAAACUGCGAANANANANGNAAAAAUCAGUUAUAGUUUAUUUGAUAGUACCUUACUACUUGGAUAACCGUAGUAAUUCUAGAGCUAAUACAUGCUAAAAAUCCCUUCACGGGGAUGUAUUUAUUAGAUAAAAAACCAAUGCAGGGGGCAACUCCUGGUCCAUUGAUGAUUCAUAAUAACUUCGCGAAUCGUAUGGCCUCGAGCCGACGAUGAUUCAUUCAAAUUUCUGCCCUAUCAACUUUCGAUGGUAGUGUAGUGGACUACCAUGGUUGUAACGGGUGACGGAGAAUUAGGGUUCGGUUCCGGAGAGGGAGCCUGAGAGAUGGCUACCACUUCCAAGGAAGGCAGCAGGCGCGCAAAUUACCCAAUAUCAAUACGAUGAGGUAGUGACAAUAAAUAACAAUACGGGUCCCGACAAGGGUCUCGUAAUUGGAAUGAGUACAAUUUAAAUCCCUUAACGAGGAACAAUUG